AGGGAGAGCUGCGCUGCGGAGCGGGCGGCGGAGGGAGGCGGCCCCAGCCCCAGUGUGCGCGGGCGGCGGCGGCAGGCGCUGCCGGCUGAGCCCCGCUGCUCGGUCAGACAGAACCGGCCGCUGGGACUUGCUCCCUCGUAAGGGCUGGGGAGGAGAGUCGCGAGUGGCCGGAUAAAUACGGGGGAGGAGAAGGGCGUCUCUCCCUCCACCUCCUCCCUCCUCCCCGCCGCGGAGGGCGCGCUUGGAACUGCCUGUCUGUCCGGGUGCCCGGGGUGUCUCCGCGCCCUUCCGCGGAGCGGUGCGCGCACGCUGGGCGCGGAGGCUGCUGCUGCUGAAGGUGAACCUCGCGCUCUCCAAUUACUUUUCCCGAGAGAGAAGGAGGCAGCAGGAGGGGGAAGUCGUGCUGUGUGUGGAAGGCACACCAAUCAGAGAUGCUCUAACGGAGGGACUGCUGCAGGACGCGCCGGCUUCUCCUCCUUCCUCUGCCGGCGGGGCUGAAUCGGAACCAGGCGCAGCUGGCGUAGGGGCCGAAGCCGUCUGGGCUGCAGGACUUACCCAUCUCCGCUGUUCCAAUAGAUCAACCAUACUUCGUCCUCUCUAUUUUUUUUUCUCGAUACUCUGAAAUCGUGCAUAAGAAACACUUCAAGUCUUCUCUCAAUUCCCAGUUACUUCACCCUUCCUCUAGCAUCUCUUAGCCGAAUUCCUGGUGUAUUCCCAGAGAGGCGGGGUGUGAGAGCCGGGCCCCGCGGGCGGCUGCUGCCGAGGGGAGCCGAGCGGACGCGGCACGGCGCCGCUCCGUGCCCCCGAGCGCUGGCGGGGCGCGGGGCGUGUGCCGGCGAUGCCCGGGCGGUAAGGCUGGAGCUCCCCCCGGACGGGAGGCGGCCGAUCGCUAGGCAUUUCUAGCAAGAAUCGGGACUGCAGGAUGAAUAAGAGAUACUUACAGAAAGCAACAAAAGGAAAACUGCUAAUAAUAAUAUUUGUUGUAACACUGUGGGGGAAAUUAGCAUCUGGGGCAAAUCAUCAUAAAGCUCACCAUGUUAAAACUGGGACCUGUGAAGUGGUGGCACUUCACAGAUGCUGCAAUAAGAAUAAGAUAGAAGAAAGAUCACAGACAGUGAAGUGUUCCUGCUUCCCUGGGCAGGUAGCAGGUACCACCCGGGCAGCUCCUUCUUGUGUUGAUGCUUCAAUAGUGGAGCAGAAAUGGUGGUGCCACAUGCAACCAUGUCUUGAAGGGGAGGAAUGUAAAGUUCUUCCAGAUCGUAAGGGAUGGAGCUGUUCCUCUGGGAAUAAAGUGAAAACAACUAGGGUAGGUAUGAUACCAACCUGACAUGUUACCAACAAGUAAAAAAAAGAAAGGUGCACAGGAAAUUGGGUGCACAAAGAAGACCUAAGUUGAGAAGACUAAAGAAGCAUGGGAAGAGAGUUGUACUGGGAUUGGACUUCCUGGUCCCUCACACUUUUCUCAGCAUACUUUUCAAUUGUUUGAACAUAGUAAGCUGUGUGCCAGACCUUCUCAGGCAAACGUGUAAAACUCCUCAAGUCCGAAUGGAGAAGUAGAGAAAGGAGGUUUCUGCUGUGCCUGAUGACAAUUUUUAUUUUUUCCACACACAAAAAAUAUUCUGGCUCCGCGUUGGAGCACUAGUUGUGAUGAAUCCUAGUCUUGGUCGGAUUCUAAGGAGGGGCCAGAACGUUCGGUGAGGAAUAAAGAGUCAAACCACUCCAGAAAAUGUGUUCCAGCCCCGGUUUAUUACUCACAGAGCAGCAGGUAACCCGAUAACUAAAGACAAAUCAAGCCAGUCUUAAGGCUGAUAACAUUAAAUACAACACAUAGGAAUUUCAUUCCUCCAGGCAGUCCUUGAAGUGAAAUUUUAUACUGCUGGGGUGUAUCCUUCAGAAUCAAUUGUUUCAAUGAGAACCUGACUUGCAAUCAGCAACAGCCUUGAGAUCAAAACUACUGGAAAGUUAUUUUGAACUUCUAUGUCACAAAUAUUUCAACUGAUUGAACUGUGUACACUUGUAAAAUUGCACUUGCUGAGGAAUUUGCAGCUGUAAUCAUGAUCUAAUAUUCUAAAGGUGCAGAAAAGCAGCAAACUUUUGGGUUCUCCAUUGCAGAUCACUGGCUUUUCAUCUUGAAGAAGUCAAACUCUGAAAUGUAUUGGAUCCUUCACUCUAAAAUGACCCUUGGUCCACUGUUCAGAUUGCUGGUGGGACUGCACACUACUUUAAUUAAAUUUCUUUUGCAGAAAUUGUCCUCAAGCAUGGCACAGUUUUAGGUAUUUUUAUUUGUGUUCUAAUCUUGCAGCUCUCAAAGGUACAUAUUUCAACAUCUUGAAGUUGCUUUCUUAUAGGAAUGGAAUUAUAUAUCCAUUGUUAAUAAUUAUUGUUGACAAGUAAUAGUUAUCUGAAUACAUCAGUUAUAUUAGAAUGUAUAGUCAGGUUGACAUGUUUCCCCAAGGCUAGCCAACUACUGCAGCUUAACAGUUAAAGGAAGUAGUGGUCAAAAUUCAAUUACUACUUCCAUUAUAAGGCAUUUUAUAUCUUUAAUAUAUACAUUUCCAUUUAGUUUGAAGGAAAUGGGUGUACCCAGUAUGUACUUUACUUUCCUAACCUUUAAUUCAUUUAAAUUGAUGGUAAGCAGUCAAUUACACUAUUUCAUCCCUUUUUUACAAAGGUAGGCAGGGAUGUAAAUGAGAUUUGCAAUUAUGAUAUUGGAUGGUAAUAAUUCAGAAUUUUUGUCUUUUUAUUAAAAAAAUAAAAUCUCUUGCUUGAACCUAAAUACUGAUGGAUGCUUAUGUAGAUGUCUGCUCAGUCUGUUUGCCAUAAAGGAAAAAAGUCCUAGUGCUCUCCUAGUUUUACACUUUAUGGGUAUUUUGCUUGUGUACAGUCAUCCAAUUCAGAUCUGUUUGGUUUUGUUAGAAAUUCUUGAACUUUGCGAUGUGUUGUUACAUGAAAAAAUCCUCAAUAUUUGAAGGCCUUAAGCAUCUUUGAGCUUUUUACUAAGUUAUUACAGAAUGUAUAAUUUUAUACUCCAUUUAAUGUAUAUUGUACCAUCUGUAAUGUUGAUACAAAAGAAAUUGGGCAAUUCCUUUUAGUGACACUGCAUAAACACACUGACUAGAGGGAGUUCUGACUGGAUGCUUUGGUGAGUUGAAUUGAAAGCCACAUGCACUUAAUGGUAGUCAAAAAUACAUAGUGGUAAGCUUAAGUCCUGUGUGGUUAGCAAACACAGCAAAAACCCCUCAAAAAUAGAAAAAAGAAAGGGAAAAAAGGGAAUAGAAAUAAAUGGUUUAAUCAUUAAAGCCAUUGACAUGGCUAGUUUAGUUAUAUAUUAAGUUCUGUGAUGGAUGAACACCCUGGCAAGCUCUGCCUGUCACUGUAGCUCCUGCUGUUCCAAAAGCAUUUCAUUACCUCUGCUGUAUUAUUGCACAGGAGAGCUUAAGUAAAAUAAAUGACUGUUGGGAAUAAAACUGAGAAGUAUAUUCUAUCAUUUUGCUGGGAAAUAAUAAGAAAUAUGUUGACAGAAAAAGAUCUUAUUUUCUGAUUAAAAUUUAUUUGGAAUAAACCAUUUGUAGCAGAAACUAACUCUCUUGGUAUUUUGGGAUGAAUUAGUAUUAUAUGGCUUUGUGCUGAGGUUCAGGAUGGAAGGUAGCAUCUUAAAGAGGUUGGGACAGUGCAAACUGUAAAUGUGCUGUUUUGUAAAAUCUAAAUAUUACCUCUAUUUGUUUGAAAAUCUACAUCAUGUUUCUCAAUACAUGUUUUCUUUGUUUCCUUCUUCUUAACCAGUGUUGAAAAUACUGUAUUAUAUACAAGUGUAACACAUGCAUACCAAUAAAUGAAAAUAAAUGGAUUUUCAAAUAUACUGAAUAGAUUCUCUGCAGUAGAAUAAUGUUGUGACUAUUCAUAGCAAGUGAAUAAAAUUGUAAUAUAAAAUAGA